AUGCAUCUCUACAACGCGUGGCUGCCCCCGGCGGUGGCGGAUGCCGCGCGGGGGGAGGCGGCGGCCUUCACCGGCGCGGUGCGGUCGGCCAAGGGCGCGUGGCGCCCCGACGACCCCGACUCGGCCUACGCCACGCUCAAGUGGAUCUCCGUGUUCGACCUUUUUAUCAAAGCAAAGAGUAACGUUGCUCCUGAGGACAUACAUGCUCUUGUAGAGCUUGGGUUUGGAAUAUUUCAUGCAUCGCAGAAUAAGUUUGUUGUCCAGAUAAAAUGGGGAGGUUUGCUCAUCAGGCUUUUCAAAAAGCAUGUGGAGAGACUUUCACUUGAUGUGCAAUGGAGGCCGCUUUACGAGACAUUGAUACAAACCCAUUUCAAGAGAAACAUGGGCCCUGAGGGCUGGAAAGUAAGGCAGCAACACUUCGAGACCAUCACUGGCUUAGUACGUGCCUCUAGGACUUUCUUUCCUGAAGGUGCAGCUGCUGAGAUUUGGUUGGAAUUCAGGCCGUUGCUGGAAAAUCCAUGGCAUAACUCAGCAUUUGAAGGUGUUGGAUUUGUUAGGCUGUUUCUCCCUGCAAACCCGAGGAACCAGGAUCACUUUACGACUGAUUGGAUUGCACAAUGUCUACACAUUUGGGACUCUGUCACAAAUUGUAACUUCUGGGAUAUCCAAUGGGCUGCCAUCAUAGCACGUUGCAUAAAAAAUUCCAGAUCCAUUGAAUGGGAGAAGUUUCUGCCGCUAUUGUUUACAAGAUACUUGAACAUGUUUGAGGUUCCUAUAUCCAGUGGGAAUGGGUCGUACCCUUUUCCAGUGGAGGUGCCUAGGAACACAAGAUUUUUGUUCUCCAGUAAGACCAGAUCACCUUCCAAGGCAAUUGCAAAGUCUGUUGUGUACCUUUUGAAGCCUAAAAGUCUGGCACUGGAACAAUUUGAGAAGCUCAUAAAUUUUCUAGAACAAUUCUAUCAUCCAUCAAAUGGGGGUCGCUGGACCUACUCAUUGGAGCGUUUUCUGCGGUAUCUCGUUUUUUACUUUGAAAGACGUCUUCAACAUGAACAAUUUGACACAAUGGAUGAGAAAAAUGAGCAGUUCUGUUUGGGAAAAGAAGAGAGAGCUGUUUUUAUCAAAGUAGUGCUGAAAUUACUGGAUCGUGGUCAGUACAGCAAGGAUGAUUCUCUUGCUGAAACAGUAUCCAUUGCAACUUCAAUCCUGUCUUAUGUCGAGCCAUCCUUGGUGCUUCCGUUUGUCGCAACGAACUUCCAACUAGCCUUGGAGACGACUACUGCCACCCACCAGUUAAAGAAUGCUGUCACAUCUGUCGCAUUUUCUGGACGGGCGCUUCUUCUAAGUUCUUUAUGCUCAACUCAAUCUGGUGAUAGUAGCAUGAUUGAUACACUCUAUGAUCUUAUUGUUACUUCCCUUUCAAAUGCAUUGCUUGGUAUGGAUGCCAACGAUCCACCUAAAACUGUAGCUACGAUGCAAUUAAUUGGCUCAAUAUUUUCAAAUCUGGCUACAGUUGGUGUUAGUGAUGAUGUGCCUGCUUUCCUCCAAACUUCCUCUCUAUCGGAUUGGCUAGAUGAAUUCUUUUGUCGGCUGUUUUCUGUGCUUCAGAAUUUGGAAUCAAGUAGUGCCAUCGCGGAGGGUUACCAGACCUCAAUCAUGCCGGGAACUUUUCUCGUCGAGGACAGCCCUCACUAUUUUUGCAUGCUAGAAAUAGCUCUGGGAAAGUUAUCAAAAACCUUAUUUAAUGAGUCCCUUAAGAAAAUUGCCAAGUUCGUCAAUGCAAAUAUCCUUCCUGGUGCCACUUCAGAAGUUGGACUUCUUUGUUGUGCCUGUGUUCAUUCAUAUCCUGAGGAGGCUUCAGUCUACCUUGUAAAGCCUAUCUUAAUGACUAUCAUGUCCUCCUUCGAAGGUACCCCCACAACAGGUUAUGUUGGAAGAGAAGUUCCUAACAAUAUGUCUACUAAGGCUACACUUUCUCCUGCUCUAGAAACAGCAUUGGACUACUAUCUGAGGGUUUUGGCUAUAUCCAUCAGUUAUGCGGGUCCUGUCUUAGUGAGCUAUAGAGAAGAAUUAAAGCACGUAAUAAUGUCUGCAUUCCAGGCCCCUUCAUGGAAGGUCAAUGGAGCUGGUGAUCAUCUCCUUCGCUCUGUGCUAGGAAGCCUGGUUUCAUUUUAUCCACUAGAUCAGUAUAAGCCAUUUUCUUGUCAGUCCAUUGCUAAUAUUAUUGAGCCAUGGGGUUGUUCAAAAGCUCAUCAGGACAGGGAGGUUGAAAUGCUUAAUUUUCCUCCGAAGUGGCAUGAUCCCAGUCAAGAUGAACUAUCUUUUGCAAACGAAUUGUUAGAAUUUCAUUUUCAGUUGGCUGUGGAAGAGCUUUUGACUAUUUGCCAGACGGAAGUUCAGUCUGAGACAGGAGAUGAAAAGGAGCACCUAAAAAUAACGCUAUUGCGCAUUCAUUCUGCAUUGCAGGGUGUAAUGUCGUGCUUACCUGAACUGCGUCCAUCAUAUAAAGAUGGGAGGUCCAAGGUAGUAGAGCCCAGUUUCUUUAUUGCAGGAUCUUCUGGUAGCACCGUUGGCAGCUCAGAGAUGCGUGAAAAGGCUGCAGAACUUGUGCACAUAGCUUGCAGGUACUUAUUAAAGGAAAGAACUGAUGAUAGUAUUCUCCUAGCACUUGUAGUACGCGUGAUUGAUGCUUUGGUGAACUAUGGUAGCUUGGAAUAUGAUGAAUGGUCAAGUCAUGUUCAAGCUUGGAAAUUAGAGUCUGCUGCCAUCAUUGAGCCUCAAUGCAACUUUAUUGUUCCAUUCCAUGCUCAGGGCAAAAAGAGGCCUAGAUGGGCGCUUGUCGAUAAAGCACACUUGCAUAAUACGUGGAGAUGUUCACAAUCAUCAUACCACAGAUACCGUACAGAUGCCAAUGUAUCUCCAUCUAGCCUCAUGGUUAAUUUGGUGAAGGAUCUCCUAGAUCUCUCACUACACAACUAUGAAACUGUUCGCUCGUAUGCUGGAAGAUCGCUAACAAAAAUGCUGAAGCGCUGGCCUUCUCUAAUUUCUGAUUGUGUUCUUACCCUGACUGAGAAUUUGCGUGAUUCGAAAGCCCUGGAACAUGUGGUGCUUGGUUCUUGCAGCAUUCUCGCAUCACAGACUGUUUUGAGACACUUGACAACUGAUUCUGCUUCCCUCUCUUCAUUUAUCAUGGGAAUUUUGGGAAGCUCUCAUCAUGAAUCGAUAAAGUGUCAGAAAGCUAUUACUGAGCUCUUUGUGAAAUACAACAUACGUUUCUCUGGAAUAUCAAGGUCUUUUUUCAAGAAUUCUCAAAGUCUGGCUGACAGGCCAGGAUUUCUUGGAUUAUUUUCUCAAAUUAAUGCUUUGGGCUUUGAGACUAACAGUCUACAUUGGAGGUACAACCUGAUGGCUAAUAGAGUACUUCUGUUGCUAAUUUUGGCAUCUAGAAGUGAGCCUGACAUUUAUUCACAAAUCCUGGCAGAGACUGCUGGUCAUUUCUUAAGAAAUUUGAAGAGUCAACUCCCCCACUCAAGGAUGCUUGCAAUAUCUGCUCUGAACACACUAUUAGAAGGAUCACCUCACAAGGCAUCUGUGGAAGAUUCACAACAAUCAUUAGAUCACCCUGAAGAAUGCAAUAUUUUGUCAACAGGAACGCUUCUGAAUGACAUAAUCCAGGAGGAAGGAUUCAUGAAUGAUACGCUAAACAGUCUCUCACAUGUACAUAUUAUUUCUGAUAGUGAUGGUUCAUCAAAAGCAAGUUAUGGCGCUUCAUCGUUUCAAAGCGGAUCUGAUAAAGCAAUCACUUACUUCUAUUUUGAUUUCUCUGCCUCGUGGCCAUGUACCCCUAGUUGGAUUUCUUUAGUGGGCGGUGGCACAUUCUAUUCCAGCUUUGCUAAGAUAUUCAAAAGGCUUAUACAACAAUGCGGAAUGCCAGUAAUGUCCUCACUUCAGACUGCACUAGAAGAAUUUCUGAGUUCAAAAGAAAGAUCAAGGCAAUGUGUGGCGGCUGAAGCUAUGGCAGGCAUGCUUCACUCUGAUGUCAGCGGGGAUUUGGAGUCUGGGAGUGACUGGUUGAUGCUUCAAUUGCAGAAGGUUGUGUUAGCUCCAUCUGUGGAAUCAGUUCCUGAAUGGGCAUCUUGCAUUAGAUAUGCUGUUACUGGCAAAGAAAGAUCUGGAACUCGUGCUCCUGUUCUCAGGCAAAAAGUAUUAGAUUGCUUAUGUACAGCAGUUCCUCAGUCUGUAGCAACUAGUGUACUUGCCAAGAGAUAUUCUUUUCUGUCUGUUGCUCUAAUUGAAAUUUCUCCACAUAAAAUGUCCCCAGCAGAGGAGCAGUACCACGUUACAAUUCUCAACGAACUGCUUGACAAUAUGAGUCACUCAUCUGCGCAGGUAAGAGAGGCGAUUGGUGUUGCUAUGUGUGUCGCAUGCUCGAAUGUGAGAUUAGCUGGUGCACGUUCACCGGGAGUCCUGACAGAACAAACCGGAAAUGAAUAUUGGUAUAAGCGUUUGACAGAUGGAGCUACUGAGUUGUCUGUGAGUAUACAGAACAAUAGUCAAUCUAAGCAACUUGAAUUGGCAUCCGAUUCAUCCACUGCGAAUGGCUUGGACAAUAAAGAGGAGGCUGACGCUAAAAGAAUGGAAACGAUUUUCCAUUUCAUGAUUGCAUCUCUGAAGUCUGGGAGAUCUUCCGUUCUACUAGAUGUUAUUAUUGCGCUCUUCUACCCUGUUCUAUCAUUACAGGAAACAUCAAAUAAAGAUUUGUCAUUGCUCGCAAAGUCAGCUUUUGAAUUGCUUAAAUGGCGGACUUUGCCGCGCCCUUUUCUUGAAACAGCUAUUAUGGCUAUCCUUUCUUCAGUCAAUGAUCCCAACUGGCGAACCAGAUCAGCGUUGUUAUCAUAUCUCAGGACCUUUACAUACAGGCACACAUUCAUUCUUUCUGGCUCAGAGAAAUCACAAAUUUGGCAAACAAUCGAGAAGUUACUUGUGGAUAACCAAGUUGAGGUCAGGGAGCAUGCUGCUGGUGUUCUUGCAAGCUUAAUGAAGGGUAUAGAUAAAGAUCUAUCGAAGGAUUUCCGUAAUAGAUCAUAUGCACAAGCCCAACGUAUCCUUGAUAUGAGAAGGAGAACUCCAAAGUCGGGCCAUUCUGUUGCUACCAUCCAUGGUGCAGUACUUGCUCUGACGGCUUCGGUGCUUUCUGUCCCAUACGACAUGCCAAGCUGGCUUCCUGGUCAUGUAACACUACUGGCCCACUUCAUCCGCGAGCCGUCUCCUGUAAAAUCUACUGUGACAAAGGCUGUUGCUGAGUUUAAGAGGACACACGCCGACACUUGGAGCAUCCAGAAGGAUGCCUUCACAGAAGACGAAUUGGAGUUUUGCUCUAUUUGUGCUUGCAGGUCCUCCGUGAUACAUCGUCCUCGUCAUCGUACUUUGCUUAGAUUCAGAGACUGA
rnacentral:rRNA from 1 species